rnacentral:lncRNA from 1 species
AAAGCCCCGCCUCCUAAUAUUUAACUUAUUGUGCUUUUAAAUUGUGUUAAUUUUAAUGUUGUGAGCCGCUUUGGGAGAAAUGCGGCAUAUAUAUAAAAUUAAUAAUAAUGGCUUUGGAGUAGGAGAAAAACAUAAAUCCAAGCCAUGGAUCCUCAUGGAUUCACAUGAUUUUUAUGUGAGAUCUGCCUGAAACUAGAUCCUGCUCCUGUGCCCUGACCCUGGGUAUUGCCAUACAGUGCAACAUCAUGGGUUUUAUGGCCAUUGUGUUUCUGCUGCACAUCUCAGACUGACUUAAGGAGUGUCACAAAGAACAAGAUGGAGUUCUCUCCAGACACAUCUCCAAAGGCUGAUUGCAAAGGCAGUUGCGUCUUUCUUCAAGACUAUACCACUAGCAUGUCCAGAGGUGGUGCUUGUGUUCCUGCUCUGCAGGUGCCCCAAGAGAGGACAACCCUGCUCCUUUACUUGCAAGUGAUGACCCCAAAUAGCUGACACAUUGCCAUCACAAACAUUUCCUAUAGCUAAACAAAAACCAGCUCCCUGUCCUCAAGGAGCAUCCAGCCACAUAGUUUAAAAUCAGCAGAAAAAGGGGAGGAAGAGGACACAAGUGCAGGAAGUGAUGAAUGGAAAGAAAACUCAGGAUUGCUCAUACUUCCUUAGCUUUGCGAGAGAUGCAGAGGACUUGGGAGGUGAUGAACAGAAGGGUCAGCCACAGGUGAUGCAAAACUCUGUGGUUGACAUCUGUAACUGAAUAUGGUCGGGCUCGGAGGAUCUCCUCUCAUUUCCUCUUCAGAGACAUGGAUCGAUGCUCCUUUGACAACUGGGUUCCAGGUAAGCCCUGCAGCUCCCCCAUAUUGUGGUCAAUGUGUGGCUGGUCAGCUGUGGCUCAUUCCAGCAAAACCUCUCAGAGGAUAGAUGGAGGUUUCUAGGAGAGAAACCAGUACUUUCUAGGAAUGAUCAUAGGUUGGCUGCCAGCUGACACGAGGAACUUAAGGGGGUCUGUCAACAUUUGCCGUCUACUGAGUCAUGGGCAGGGGGAAGA